rnacentral:rRNA from 1 species
GACAGAGGUGCCGAGCGUUAGGCGGAUUCACUGGGCGUAAAGGGUGCGUAGGCGGUCGGGUAAGUCUGAUGUGAAAUCUCACAGCUUAACUGUGAAACUGCAUUGGAUACUAUCCGGCUCGAGGAAUGGAGGGGAGACUGGAAUACUUGGUGUAGCAGUGAAAUGCGUAGAUAUCAAGUGGAACACCAGUGGCGAAGGCGAGUCUCUGGACAUUUCCUGACGCUGAGGCACGAAAGCCAGGGGAGCAAACGGG